GAUCCUUUGACUAAGGGCAUGCCACCGUUGAAAUUCAAGGAUCAUGUAAUGAACAUGGGACUUAGUUCCCUUAUGUAGUUUUUAUUGUACAGACUCUUAUUAUGAUGUUUUCUCAUAUUGAUGUGCACCUUUAUUUAAUUUUGAGAAAAAAUUCAACUUCAUUGGACCAAGAAUGAACAUAGGGUUUAUUCAUUAAGUAAUAUUGCCUCAUAAAGUAAAAUGUUAAGAUAUGAAUACAUUGUAAUACAUGGAAGAUAACACUCGUUAUAUAGAGGACUUAUCGCCAUGAUUCAAGUAUUUGUUACUUAAUACGGAUAAUUGAUGGAUUAAGAUAGGACAUUAAGUUAAAGGUGUGGACCAAGUGGGAGAAUGUUAUCACCCCACGUCGUCUCCACGUUCACCACCAUGAAGGGGUGCUCCUGAAGUGGUCCAACACCCACGUCCUCCACCAUGAUCCCACUUUUCCGCUGCGUUUAAAGAGGGUGUGGCAAAUCUGCAGAAACGUGGUAUGAUGGGAGGCCACGGUUAUAUAUUUCUCAUGGUCCCGAACUCGAUAUCUGCCAUCUUCAUUAUUCAGUAAUACACCAUCCAUAGGAGAUCAUCAGAGUUUGGAAACCAAAGGUUGAACCGAUUCCAGCAACUUGAUCCGAUGGCUGGAGCAGCCCAAAAGCCUGACAAGAUUCUUGUGCUGAAGUUUCGCAAUCAAAACAACUUCAUUCUUGAACUCUUGAACACCCUGUGCUGAAUUCUGGGACAAUCUCUUCACUGCUACUGCUACUCCUUCUGGUAGAUUUCCCUGCAAAAUAUGAUGUACCCAAAGCCACCUGCUCCAAUCAUAUUGGUGUUGGAGAAGUUGUUAGUAGCAGUUGCAAUGGUAGACAAGUCAAACAAAGGUAACUCUAAGUUCUCCUUGCUUUCCUGGUCUGUUAAAAGGGAUAAUAAUUUAGAAACUGCUUUUAAAGCACUACCACAUGGAUAAGUAUGCAUACCUGUUCCCAUUGUUCUCUUCUUCCGAAAUAGAAACCAGACUGCUAAGCCCAAGGUGAGGAUUCCAGAAAAGGUAGAUAUAACAAGGAUGAUCACUAGUUUUUUCUUCUGAUAAGUGUUUAACCCUGGAACAGACAGUAACAAGAAUGAAGUAACCAUUUCCCCAGAUUUCCCUGUUUCUUCAGAAAAUGAAUUGGAUAUUUGCUUUCUGCUUGUUAGGGUUAUUACAAGUCAGUUCAUCAUUAGUUAACCUGAAUCCUAACAGCUAUGUUUCUUCUGGAAUAUAAUAUAAGGUCUUACUUCACUAGAUUAUAAUCUUGUUGUGAAUUUGAAUCACUGACUUCAGAAAAUACGUAGUUCUGCAUCUUGAUUUACCAGGAUAACUUAGGGCUUAGGCUAUUGGAGACAACCCCAAUAGCUUACAAUCAAAAAGUUAUUUACAGAAAAUCAAGUGUCUUACCUAGCUCUGAAGUGUGUAUGCGGAUAUAGAUGUCCUCCGCAGCUUUUUCUGAAGUUAACUCUCUGAUGUCAAUCAGGUUCCCAGACCACAUCAAACAGCCACCGUUUCCAUUAGGAUUUGAGUAGGCAUAUGCUUUUAAGUAGGAAUAUGCUGUACAAGAACAGUUGUUCAAGCACGAUACCUUGCACUCCCUAAGGCUCACACCCAUAAUCACAUGAAAGUCUAUCAUGUCGGGCAAUUUCACCCCUGUAACCUUUACAAAUCCCUCUUCACUUUGGCAAUCCAAAGGCAUUCUUCGUGUGCAUCCACUUGAUAUAUUAAACAUGUCCCAUUCUUCUUGUGAUUUUGGUGUGAAACCUGUCAAACACUCACAAAUCUGCAGCUUGCCAAUUCUGCAGAUACCAUUAGCACCACAAUGGCCAUAAUUUUGACAAAGUUCACUGGGAAAUGAGUACAAUUCAUCCCAUUCAGAGCUCCCUUUUUUUAAUACCAGACGCUGGAGGAAACCUGAAUGGAUCAAUGUUAGUCUUGAAAUGAUCUUAUUGUUGUUAGACUCAUAGAGGGCAUAUACCUCAUCGUUGUUGGCAACAAAAACUGCUUUGUAAACCGAGUUUUCCGACGGAUUCAAACCAUUGAAUUCAAGUCCAUUCCAUGGCCCGGAACGGACUUUUUUGCCUGCUCCCACACCAAGAACCAUGUAAGGCAGCACAUUAAUAUCAAUUCUGUAAGAGAAGUCUCCAGGGGAUGGGUCAUCAGCACUUUUCCAUGAUGUCAAUUUUCGUUGUAGACCAGUCUUUAAGUUCCAUCCCACCUUCAUGCCUGGCAACAUUGUGUCUGAUGGAUCAUCAAAGCUCUGCCAUAUAUAGCUUUCAGAACUUUCAUUACUACUGUCCCUGAGAACAAGAUUUCCGGUCUCCAGGAGCUGUGCAACUGGAUUUUCUGGUACCUUUGACAAAUUGGGCGACCAGAUUACACUCUUUGAUUGGUUGAGAAGAACAAGUGCGCCAUUGUUGAAGAUGGUUAAAACUCCAUACAAAUCUGCGAUCGGGUUGUUUCUGUUUGCAACCCAUACAACUGUCCGGGGUGUAUUCUUGUACCAUAUUCCUAAGUACCUGUUUUUGGAGCUGCCAGGAGAGAAGAAGCCUAGUUCAAAGCUUUGGCCUGAGGAAACUAAAGUCUCACCAUCGCCUAUGGAUUGGUCAAUCCUUAUGGAAUCAGCUGCAAUACAGGACUCCAAGGGAACUGAGAGACAAAUCCAGGCACAAAAGAAGGCAAAGAAAAGAUGGGUCUCCAUUGACGCUUCUGACAGAUGAAA